CAAUUAUUUGCUUUGUUUGAGCUAUGAUUGUUUCCUGAUAUGUUUGAUGAUGCAGAGAAUUUUAUUCCUUCAAAUCCUUUAGUUACUCUUAUUCAUAUUAA